AAAGGGAAGGGAUUUAAUGCGCAAUUAACCCCUCACCGUGAAAACGCGCGGAUCCCAGGGGCCAUUGGGUCGGGUCACCGGGCAUAGUUUCAAACGACGUCAUUUUUUGGCCAUUACAUUUGGCAUAAACGGCGUCGUUUUUGCUUCUUUAAAAGGCUAAAUGUGGAUUCAUUCAGCCGAACCCUAGCAGGACAUUAGCCUCCCCCCUUUUGCUGUCCAGUUAACCCCCAGAAUGCUCCCUUCGUCAUUUAUGCGCCACCAUGAACGGCGAUCUGCGCAUUCGAACUCCAAAAGAGUGAUUUUUCAGCCUUGAGACCCUAUUUGGACUUUGAUUUCAACGAAGCGAAGGGGAAACGAUGGCUAACUUACAAGGUACGAGGCGUGUGCUGGCACUAGGUGUGAGGGUGGCGUACGGGGCUAUCGAUGUAGAGGCACGAGCAGCGUUGGGGCUGAGGCGCUGGCACCGUAUGGAGGCAUUGUCCGGUUGCGGCACAAGCAUUAGGCUAGGGUUUUUUGCUUACUUUAAAUUUUGGGCCACUUAGGCCUAUUGUAUUUGGGCUCGGGCUUAUUUGUAAAUGGGUUGAUUUGGGCUUGUAUAGGGUAUUAGUUUGGGUCAAAACCUGUAAAUGGACUGUUAUAGGAUUUAAGUUUUAUUUGGGUUUUAUAUUUAUUGUUUGGUGUUUGCAA